AGUGAACGCUGGCGGUAGGCCUAACACAUGCAAGUCGAACGGAAGCACAGUAAGAGCUUGCUCUUACGGGUGGCGAGUGGCGGACGGGUGAGGAAUACAUCGGGAUCUACUUUUUCGUGGGGGAUAACGUAGGAAAACUUACGCUAAUACCGCAUACGACCUACGGGUGAAAGCAGGGGAUCUUCGGACCUUGCGCGAUUGAAUGAGACGAUGUCGGAUUAGCUAGUUGGCGGGGUAAAGGCCCACCAAGGCGACGAUCCGUAGCUGGUCUGAGAGGAUGAUCAGCCACACUGGAACUGAGACACGGUCCAGACUCCUACGGGAGGCAGCAGUGGGGAAUAUUGGACAAUGGGCGCAAGCCUGAUCCAGCCAUACCGCGUGGGUGAAGAAGGCCUUCGGGUUGUAAAGCCCUUUUGUUGGGAAAGAAAAGCAGCAGGUUAAUACCCCGCUGUUCUGACGGUACCCAAAGAAUAAGCACCGGCUAACUUCGUG
rnacentral:rRNA from 1 species